rnacentral:rRNA from 1 species
AAUGAACGCUGGCGGUGUGCCUAAUACAUGCAAGUCGAGCGAACGGACAGUAAGCUUUUUCUUCUGCCGUUAGCGGCUGACGGGCGAGUGACACGUGCAUCACCUUCCUCUAUUUCUGGGGUAACUUCGGGAAGCCGGUGCUGAUACUGGAUCAUAUAUUGUACCGCUUGAAUCAAUAGUUCUUGGCACUUUUCCUGUCUCUUAUAGCUGGUUCCGCGCCGCAUUAGCUAGUUGGUAAGGUAACGGCUUACCAAGGCAACGAUGCGUAGCCGAGCUGAGAGGGUGAUCAGCCACACUGGAACUGAGACACGGUCCAGACUCCUACGGGAGGCAGCAGUAGGGAAUCUUCGACAAUGGGCGAAAGCUUGACGGAGCAACGCCGCGUGAGUGAUGAAGGUCUUCGGAUCGUAAAGCCCUGUUAUUGGGAAAGAACAAAUGUGGAAUAAACUAUGGACGUCUUGACGGUACCUAAACAGAAAGCCACGGCUAACUACGUG